rnacentral:sRNA from 1 species
CCCCCCCCCCGUGCACACAAUGUAGGAUGCCUCUUUUCCUUUGGGAAAAAAGGGGGGUACCUAUGUCUUUUGCAACAUGCAAUAAAGUUUAGAAAGUCUCAGAAUGUUUAUGAUCGUUGAGCUGCGACUUCCAGGAGACGUGGAUUGGCGAGAUAAAAGUUAUUACAACUUUCAGCAAUGGAUCUCUUGGCUCUCGCAUCGAUGAAGAACGCAGCAAAUUGCGAUAUGUAAUGUGAAUUGCAGAUCUACAGUGAAUCAUUGAAUCUUUGAACGCACAUUGCGCUCCUUGGUGUUCCGAGGAGCAUGCCUGUUUGAGUGUCAGUAUAAUUCUCAACUCCUCUUUGAUUUUAUUUGAGAGGGAGCUUGGAUCAUGGGGGCUGCCGGAGACUUUGGACCUUUGUGGUCCAGGACUUGGGCUCUCCUGAAAUGCAUUGGCUUGUGAUUGACUUUUUGACUUUGUGCGACAAGGCCUUCGGCGUGACACAGCAA